rnacentral:rRNA from 1 species
GACGAACGCUGGCGGCGUGCCUAAUACAUGCAAGUAGAACGCACAGUUUAUACCGUAGCUUGCUACACCAUAGACUGUGAGUUGCGAACGGGUGAGUAACGCGUAGGUAACCUGCCUGGUAGCGGGGGAUAACUAUUGGAAACGAUAGCUAAUACCGCAUAAUAUUAAUUAUUGCAUGAUAAUUAAUUGAAAGGUGCAAUUGCACCACUACCAGAUGGACCUGCGUUGUAUUAGCUAGUAGGUGAGGUAACGGCUCACCUAGGCGACGAUACAUAGCCGACCUGAGAGGGUGAUCGGCCACACUGGGACUGAGACACGGCCCAGACUCCUACGGGAGGCAGCAGUAGGGAAUCUUUGGCAAUGGACGAAAGUCUGACCGAGCAACGCCGCGUGAGUGAAGAAGGUUUUCGGAUCGUAAAGCUCUGUUGUAAGAGAAGAACGGGUGUGAGAGUGGAAAGUUCACACUGUGACGGUAUCUUACCAGAAAGGGACGGCUAACUACGUG